rnacentral:lncRNA from 1 species
CGAUUUUUACUCGAGGAGAGAGAAACCCUAGAGAGAGAAAAUGAGGGAGGUGCAAAGCUCUUCCUCUGAGCUCUAGCAUGCUCCACCAGGUUCCAGGAGUCGUGCUGGGGGAGAUAAGGAUGGUAUAAGAAGUGAAAUUACCAAAGUAACCUUGCUGCCACGUAUCUGCCAAUGUGUACCGGUACAAGGUGAUGGCUGUACCGGUACAGCAAGCAGAAAAUGCUGAUUUUCGUCAGAACAAAGCACUUUCAUGCUUUUAACUUCCCAAUCACCCUCUAACUUGUCCAAAAACUUGUCUAAGCCCUUUAGAAUAUGUAGGGUAGUUCCACAUACCUUUUCCCAUAUUCGAACUUCAUAAGUGACCAAAUUCAAAGCAUUGCAAUAGAAUAAUGCACUUGCAAUGCAUUUUUCCAUUUCCAGUUAUCUUCUUGCUCCAGUAAUUUAUUGAAGCCUCUCAACAAUCCUACAAAAAGUGUAGAAGAGUUCGAAUCACUAUUCCAACCCUCAGAUUCACAGUUUGCCAAAAUUCAGUGUAUUACAGAACCGCCGCCCGAUCGCUUCUUCCCCUUGUCUUGGGAUCCGGCCAACAACUCACGUUCCUCCCGCACGUGGGCGUCCCCAUGCUCCGCCCACAGCGCCUUGUUGAAAACCUCGGCGAAAGUCGUUAGCUGGAACAGUUGCACCGCCCUAUAAAUCCACGGCCGAAGUCCUCGCAAGAACCACUCGGCUCGAUCCGCGUCGUCCUUGACCACGUCCGGGACACAGUCUAGGAUGUGGGAGAACUCCUGCUCGUAGUCCGCCACCGAAUGAUCUCCCUGUCUCAAUUUGCGAAACCUCUCCUUCAACUUCCGCUUCUCGAUGUCCGGGAAGUAAUUUCCGAAUAUCUCCUUCUUAAACCCCUCCCAGAGCAUUGGUGGAAGGUCAGAGGGUCGAUCCCGCUUCAACCGCUUCCACCACACCUUCGCCGCCUUGUCGAGGCAAUGGGUGGCGAAAGGCACCUUAUCUCUCUCCGGGGUGUAUAGGUCCUCGAAGAGGGUCUCCAUAGAGUCAAUCCAAGACUCCACCACCGACGGCUCCACUUUCCCCCCUUCAAAAUUUGGUGGCUUAAACUUCAUAAAUUUCAUUAAAGCCGUUAGCGCACGCUCCCGCUCCACUUUAUCGGCCGGCGUAUCAAGCGUCGCCGAACCCGAAGCUGUCGGAGGCGCACUUGUCGGCGGGGGAACCGCCGCCAUCGGAACCGCCGCUAUGCCCUCACCCUCGGCCACUACCGGCGUGCGUGCCGAAGGUGCGGGCGGAUCACGAUCUCCUGCCGCCGUCGCGGCCGCCGCCGCUGCCGCUUGCCGCUCCACAACUUCCUGGCGCUGCUCGAACCGAGCCUCCUGGCGCUGCAUCGCGCCCAUCAUUGCAGCGACCUGCUCUCGCAGCUCCUGCACUUCCUCCGAUCUUGGCUGCUCGGGCUCCGCAGAAGGCGGUACCGGAGCAGACCUACGCACGUAACGCCUUGGGGACAUUUGCUCCUGAAAAGCAACNCCAUUCACAUUAGUGGAUGUUGCUACACGUCAAUACUUAUGUUCAGACAAAUUCCAUUAAUGUUGUCUCUACAGCUUUACUGCUUUCCUUUACACCAAUCGUAAAGUAACUCAUGACCAUUUAGAUAAACUUCUUUGAUACUGUUCUGAGAGUGUGGGGCUCAAAGUAUUCAUUGUCCCAAAUCCAAUUUAGGCAAUAGAGGGGAAUCAAUUUAUACUUCACCCAUAAGUUCUCUAUUGCUGUUACUCUACAUAUUUUUCCAUAAAUAGGGAAGAAAUCUGAACAAAACCUUUCGUUAAUUCACAAUUAGAGCAUCAUCAAUUGCUUUCGAACUGUAAGAGAUUUAUCCUGAUAUCACUAUCAGUCAAGAUAUUAAUUCCCAAAGACUAACCUCAUGCAGUUUGUUCCCUGAAGCUUAGUUCCAAUUAUACAUAAUUAGAAUCAGAAGAGAAAGAAACAAGUAGCUGGGUAAUCUCUUUUUCAAUAUUCCAAGAUGCUUAGUUCCAUUAGGAGAGUCUCAUCUCAAUCCUUUUAAUUCAUCCUCCUGUUCAGUCAAUAUCUGCCUUGCAGGAUUCACCGAACAAACAACUGGAUAAAUCCUUCAUAACCUUUUUCUAUCAUAGAAGAAUGCAGCUUCCUCAGACUGCUACUCAAUCUAUAGCACGCAUCCAAUACUAAAGGCUGAUCAAAAGAUCAUCCGCUCUUGACUUAAUCAACCACUAAAUUGUGUUUCACUUAAAAUCACGAUAUUCGACACAUAGUCGAAUAGCUCAUUUAAUCUCACCACAAGUGAAAUUAUUUCACCAAAAUGAAGCCCUAGGCAUAAAACAUUCUCUAAUUAUCAAGUUCACAAUUUGUGACUUGUUUAGGAAUAGCACAACCACUACUCAAGAACUACCCUUCACUUUGAGGGUUCUUACAAUUUAACAGUAUCAGCCAAUUAGGCUCCAACCUUUCUAUAAUUACCUAAUUUAGGUAAAAUGACCAUUCUCGCAAUCAGCGAGGCUAAACCCUUCAAGAUGUAUUGCAUAAUGUUCAAAGUUCCAAGGCGAAUCAAUUUAGUUCGCACAAACCAUGGUAUAAAGUAUCUCCCAACUAAGUUUCAAUCCAAACCAUUCUGUUCAAUCAAUCCUACAUGCAUUAAGGAGGAAAUUGAUGCUAAUCGACUCGGCCAACAGCCGAUAAUAGAUGCAACUAAAGCAAUCAUUAUGAUCAUAUCGCAUCAUAGGAACAUUGCAUAAAGUACUACCUGCAGUAGUUAUCCCUGCCGUCGUAUCUGACUCUAUGAUUCCGUCGGCGUACCUCCAUUGGGUACUUUUUGCAACAAAGUCGGUGCAGAGACCUUAGUCAACAUGUUAUUUCUUGGGCACUCAGAGCGAAAAUGGCCAUCCUGACCACAUACAAAACACUUUUCUUUCCGCUGAGGACACUUUGGGGGAACAUGCGGACCUCCACAAAUCACACAUGGCCGAGGUAAUCGUCUCCUCAAUCUUCUUUGCUUAGAAACAGAACCACGUUUCCAAGGUUGAUUCUUCUUUAAUUUUCUUGAUGAUUCUCCGACAUGUAAUUGAUCGCCCUUGGUAGCCUCUUUGGCUCCUUCAGUGCAUUCCACACCUUUUCUUACGGUCAAAGUACGAUCCGAAACCUCGUAGAAUUUCUUGAGAUCAGCCGUCUGUUGAAUCAACAGGUUCUCCAACCGUCUGAUUCCUUCAUCCUGUCGGCGCAAAGCCUCGGCUUGAAGUAGCGUCACAGUCGCUUGUCGCUCCACCACUCCAACUAGAGUAGCCAGCUGCUCUUUUAAUUCCCGAAUCUCACUAAUCAGAGGUGGCACCGUCCUUUCUGGGCUCGAUGUCUCAUCAGCCGUAGGGUGCAUCUUUGACAUGCAAGCUGAACAAACAAAAUAGCACAGGUUAAAACCAACGCCAUGGCUAUCAGGUAGCCGCACUCAAAAUUGUAAAAUCCAAUCAUGCGAUAGUAAUUGAAAUGACCGCCCACUUAUCCCAAUAUCACGUUGUCGCCGCCAGUGAUUUUGAAGGACAUAGAACGUUUAUUCAUAUUCAAUCGAACCACCAAUCAAUUGUUGGAGUUAUCAAAGUAUAGACCUCACCAAUCAUAAUACUUUCGCCUCAUAUAUGUCGUCAAAGAGCCGCGUAAACACCUCCACGCUCGCUAAUCCUGAUCAUAUCCACUGCACUAAGGUUUACAAUAGGUCCACUAAGACUCAACCCUAGGCUCUGACUCCACUAUAAUCUGUCAUCGCCCGGUACCCAGCAGAAGCAUAUCGCGGCUCGCGUCACAGACCGCCGUGUAGCACCACCAGCUCAAGUACUACACAAAGGCGUCUACAAACUAUAUAGUAAAAGCAUACACUUCUAACAGGUAAUUAAGCACGUACUUUAAGUUUAAACUUAUACAAUCCAAACCGUUAAUACAAAUGAGUUAACAAAAGCUUAAUAUACAACACUGUAGUUAAACUAUAAUAACUGCUGGGCGGUGAUCUAGUAUAUCGUCCAAAAAAGCUCUAGCUAGCUGUCGCUGACCCCCUCGCCAGGAACCCUAAGCCUUUCCCAGCUGUGGAAGGCAUCUGUUAAAACAACAACAAAGAGGCGUUGAGAACUACUUUAAACAAUAGUUCCAGCGGGUAAGAAGCCGCGAGAGUGGCGAAGUACACCCAUAGGUCACUGUGGCAUGAGUAGAUAACAUAAAUAAGCGAGUAAGAAUCAGAUAAUCCAUAAGCAUUAUAUGCAAUCAUGAUAUGGAAGUAAACUAUACUCAUGCCCUAUUUUGCUCACCAUAAAUGAAACAUCAAUAGAUUGGGCAGGUAUCAGUUAUCAUGAUAGAUUUCUCACUCAUCAUUAUUACUUGACAAUUUAAUCAACAUAUAUAGAAUGUAUGCAAGAUAAUUCACUUUAUCUGCCAAAUUACAGAUGAUAUCAUGUAAUUACCUUGUUUCCAUAGCAAGAAAGAAACAUAACUGUCAUUCAUUAAUGUUUGCUAAACCAAAUCAUGAUGUCAACUUUCUAGGUUGUUCAUCAGCUAAGCUGCACUUUAGAUGUCAAACUUCUAGUAUUUUCAUCAAUAAAGUUCACUUAACCCCAAGACAUAUAGUAACUUUACUACUCUGUCCAUCAGGCUAUAGGUCAAAGUACUUGACAUAACCAAUUUCCAACGGUACUUACACAAGGUAAGUUCAAGUCGCGCCGUGCCUGAAAAAUAAUGGUCCCGUGUAGUAAAACAUCCCGCUGACAUAAACCCAUUGUCCAACGGACUUACACAAGGUAAGUUCAAGCCAGCGCCGUGCUAAUCCCCGUGUAAGUCAACAUCCCACUCUAAGGAAUAGUCCCCAGGCCUCCCCCCGGCAUUUCAUUUCGGCGCGUCACGUCGUACAUUUUGCGAGCAUACUGCUCGCUAACUGUUCGGAGUGCUGCUUGGGGGGAGCGACCCACAAGCUCGUGUGCAAACGCGCACAAUGGCAUGCAAGCCGUAGUCCACAGUAGCCAGUCUCACAAACCAACAUCAUGCCCCUGACAUGGAAUCUUUAACUCAAGGCCACUCCGAACGCGGGGCUUGGGGGGCGCGACCCCCACAAGCAUGUACGAAAGAGCAUAAUGGCCCUAGCCACGCUAUAGUCCCCAGGAUAAAAUAUCCAACAAACAUGCCUUUCUCUGACAUGGAAUCUCAACUCGACCUCAAGGUCGGCACUGUAUACCCAAUCUGAAGUCACUAUCACAACUGUUGACAAUGAUUCUAACAAGUCCGUUAAUAUAACUUGACAAGUGUUAAGAGCUUUACAUCAACACUAGUGAUUCUAUCAGGCUAAUACUCGGUCAGUCACUCCCAAUCAUCUCACUACUCCUUACACAUAAGGAAAGUGUUUCUAAGUUCUAUUCAUAGACUCAUGGCACAUACCUGUAGUCGCAAUAUCAAAUCUCUAAUCUGAUCUAUACAAUACGUUAUCAUAUCCAAAUCUAGUUAUUUACUAGAUUAUAUUUGCAGGUCCGAAAUAAUCAUUCAAGUUAUGCCAUCAUAUAAAAGUCUAGUUACUUACUAGAACAUAUACCCAUAAUACAAUCUAUGCAUGUAAAGUAAACUAACAAGGUAAUUGCAAGCAUAAAACAAGCGAUAACACACUCUUCUCUUCAGAUGAUCUCUAUCAUUCAUUCUAACAAAUGGAAAUGCAUAUGCCAAACAAAGGCCUUUAGCUAGAUCCUUUCAGAGUAUAAGCCAUAUACUUGCUAUAUAAAUUGCAUAGGCUCAAUCCUAAAAUACAUCAAUCUCUAUUGUUGUUCAACAGAAUUAAUUAUCCCUUCACGAACCUUAUCAUUAUAUCCUCUUGGAUAAGCAAUCAAGCUAAAAUUGCAUCGCAGCUACUAGUAUCAUGAGCACGUAGUACUUUAACAGGUAAACCAUAGUAAAGUGAAACAAGUCAUAAAUCUUUCAUUACUGUUUAUAAGAUGCUACAUAUCCAAUAUGAUCUACUCAUCAUCAUGUCGCAAUGCCUUUGCACUAGUACAUAUAUUUCACAUGAUAUCGGAAUAACUUGCAACUCAGAUCGUCAAAGGAGACAUAUGAGGAAAAUUCACGCACCAUUUCGGAAGGGUCGAACCCACCUAUCAACAAGCGCAAUCCAGCAAGAAAGCUUGAAACUCAGCUCAGCGGACCCCAACUCUGUGAAAACGAAAACACGGAAGGCGGCAUCAAACUACGACCGAAAUGUCCAAAUUUCGGCACACAUUGUUCUUAGUACAAGUAAUCAGCUUGACUCGGCCUGUUUGGUUCAGGUUAAUACUCAAGUAUAGCUCCUAAAAGCCUUCACGCAUCAACCGGAGAUAAAAUCCGAAAGUCGGCGUCGCAAGCCGCGCUGGCGAACAAUUUCCAAAACAGGCAAUCAUAUCGUCAGAUUAUUAAUAGAUAAUAGUCGGAAUCUGCAAAUUUAGUUUCCUCAACAGCACUUUCAAGCUUACCAUAGUGGAACACCUUUGUUAUACAGUCCAGGUCACCAAUUAAGCUUAAAUUAAUCCGCAAACCUGCUGCUGAAGAGAACAUCCAAACUGGCAUAUCAAUUUCGCACUAAUAAACUUCAAAUAUAGUUUUCGAAAGUAACAUCCAAACUAACAAAAUUACCUUUUCCAACUUUGGAGGCGGCCAGUUAUUGGGUCUGGAUCGGUUUCAACUCCCACUAAAUAACUCUUUAGCUGGGCUGAAAAUUGCCCCGCGAACCUCAGCUGGGAGCAAACAAAAACCAAACUACUUCAUGAAAUCCAAAACUAGCCUCUUUUCCCCAAUUAAGCUACACUACUUCACAAGCUGGGCAACUCAGGCUCUUUCCUGGUAUUACAAUCCCGAAGAAAGUCAGUAAAUAUCCUCCCUCCCCACCGUUCCGAAAGCUUUCCUUAGUUUCCAAACCAGCGAGUAACGCGCGCUGGCGCGAAUAAGCUCCUGAAUAUGCCAGAUUUCUUAUAGCUCGAGAAAGAAAACCCUAGAGAGAGAAAUGAGGAGUGCCAAAGCUUCCUCUUGAGCUCUAGCAUGCUCCACAAGGCUCCAGGAGUUCGUGCUGGGGGAGAUAAGGAUGGUAUAAGAAUGAAUUACGCAAAGUAACCUUGCUGCCACGUAUUGCCAAUGUGUACGUACACAGGUGAUGCAUGUACCGGUACAUCAAGCAGAAAAUGCUGAUUUUUCGUAGCCAGAACAAAGCACUUUCAUGCUUUAACUUCACCAAUGGCACCCCUAACUUGUCCAUAAACUUGUCUAAUCCCUUUAGAAUAU